GACGAACGCUGGCGGCAGGCUUAACACAUGCAAGUCGAACGCCCCGCAAGGGGAGUGGCAGACGGGUGAGUAACACGUGGGAACGUACCCUUUGGUUCGGAAUAACUUGGGGAAACUCAAGCUAAUACCGGAUAAGCCCUUAUGGGGAAAGGUUUACUGCCGAAGGAUCGGCCCGCGUCUGAUUAGCUAGUUGGUGAGGUAAUGGCUCACCAAGGCGACGAUCAGUAGCUGGUCUGAGAAGAUGAUCAGCCACACUGGGACUGAGACACGGCCCAGACUCCUACGGGAGGCAGCAGUGGGGAAUAUUGGACAAUGGGGGCAACCUUGAUCCAGCCAUGCCGCGUGAGUGAUGAAGGCCUUAGGGUUGUAAAGCUCUUUUACCCGGGACGAUAAUGACUGUACCGGGAGAAUAAGCCCCGGCUAACUUCGUGCCAGCCGCCGCAGUAACAC
rnacentral:rRNA from 1 species